ensembl:lncRNA
UGGUCCUAUCCAAUGAAGCUGCUCUCUGUGCCCAGAGUCAGCCUGAUUGUUUACUGAAGGUUCAUAUAGCCUACAUAGGCAAUGGAGGCACUUGUGAGCCAGCACAUGUAUAAAUUGCUUAAUCAUGAGCCAGCACAUAUUAUAUAUUGCAUAAUCAUAGAACGCACUAGAAUGAAACUAUACUGCCUUCAACAAUGUAUGACACGACUAUACUAGCUGAUAUGGUAUCACUUUAGUACAGUUGUGUAGCCUCUGAACAUUGAUCUGACAGUGGCCUACUUUAACCAACGUACUGAGAAUCACAAUAAAUUGCUAACUUGAUGAACUGCUUGUCGUGGGAAGAGGGAAGCCAGUGGAGAGUGCCUUCAUUAUCAACAACGUAUAGACACUGAGGCUAUUAAGUCUAUCACCUAAAUGGCACAAACUUUGAAAGGUGCAACUGGCACCCUUUCAUCCUACCAGCAGUGAAUGUAACUGCAUGCUCAUCUCCCACCCCUUGAUUUGAAUAUCCUUACUCUUCGCAUUUAACACAAUGGAAGAUAAUAGAGUUUUCACAGCUGGUAAAUCUUUGCUGCCCAAUAAAGCCCAGUGUAAACUGCAAAAUCUGGAGAAAAAAAACUAGCCAGAGUGACUGUGUUACCCAAGCUAGCGAGGCAUAGGAUACAACAUUUAGCAUUUUCUGCAGUUAUUUGGUAAAUGUGCAAUCAAAUCAUUCAAACUCCUUAACCUUUUAUGUGUUGAUAAUGUUACUACUGUCCACCAGUAGUAACACAGUGAUCGAUUACUCCAGGAAACUGUCAUGCCACUUCCACUUAAAAAAAACAAAAAACUUUUCUCAGACAUAAGGUCAGUGUUGUGUUGCUAAUUGCCCCCUCCCUUUCUAUCUCUACCUGUCAACCUGGCCGGUUCCAAGCAGAUAGGGCCCCCUCCUUACGAGCAGUGGUUCUGCUCAAGGUUUCUUUCUGUUAACAGGGAGUUUCCUCUUGCCCCUCUCGCAUUUGUGCUUGCUCCAGGGGGUUCAAGCUCUGGGUUCUGUAAAGCGCCUUAUAACUAUUUUAUUGUUUUGGCGCUAUGUAAAUACAAUUUAAUUGCAUCAUUAAAGAGUAGUGUUGCAAUAUGAUGAACCUCUAAUGCUUAAUGAAGCCCAUGAGAAAGAUGAGAAAAUUAAGUACUUCUCUAAGUUAUCAAUUUAUGCACCACCACAACUGCAGCUCUGAAAAAUACUUAAGCUAGCCAUUUACGUUUUACAAGGAUGGAUGCCUUGCAGACCAUGGCAUCCCGGAGGUGUUACAUAGUAUACAGAAAUAUGAGAAAUAUGUAUGAAACGGACGUUACAAUAUUCUAUUUUUUCUGCCACUAUUGCAUCUGCUUGUAUGUAGCCAGAGCCAUGAGGUAACGUUAGCCAAUUCUCUGUAAGGCAACCUUGUUUUAGAAUCUGGCAUUGUUCGUUUGAUUUUUUUUAUUUGGAAAGGCGCUGUUACUUGUCACGACAGGCUAGCAGGUGUAAAUGAAAGGGACGUGCAGUGCAAUUAACCAAUCCGCCAUUGGGUACUAAGUUUUAGCGUUUCAGUCCCACCUGGCUGAAACCUAAACCAGGUAGCUAACUAUCCUUGGUAACGUAUAGCGACCGUCGGUACCCUGAGCCAACUGUGGUAGGGUCCAACUUCAUGACAAACUUACUAGUAUAGCCUACUGUUUAUCAAGAGACUUUGCGUCAGCCCAUGUAGACAUACUUCAAAAAUGUCGUUAGUCACGUUUAAGACAUGUGUUUUCACUGAGCCGUAUCGUGUCAGGAAGUCGAAUGAAUAUCGAUGCUAGUUCCCGACCAUUAAAACGCGCCGAUAGUGGUACGGAUCGUGGCGUUACAAACCUACUUGCACAAAAAUGAUGUCUGAAUUGACUGAAGCAUUACUGGGAUUCGAAAUGUGUUUCGCCCGAUUACAAGUUACAUGUUCUGUGUUCUUUUAGUCAUAAUUUGACGUCACAUGCCAUACACAGUAGCCUGCUAACUCCAGACCUCUAAACCCCGAGUGUCGCAUCGCCGCACCGGGCUGUCCCCGUAUCUCCUCUGCGGCUCGGACUGCACUGAUGCCCGGAGGAUCAGUUUUGGGCCCCACAAGGAUCAUCUUCGCCUCCUGAGCCUGUCUGUUCUGAUUCUGCUUUAACCUCCAGCAGUACCUCUAGGA